GAGCUCGCCUCAGCAGCACCUGUGCCCAAAUUGAAGUGAUACAGAGAAGAUUGGCAUGGCCCCUGUGCAAGGAUGACAUGCAAAUUCGUUAAGUGCUCCGUAUUUUU
rnacentral:snRNA from 1 species